UUUCCGUAGGUGAACCUGCGGAAGGAUCAUUAAAUGAAGCAACCUAGGAGCCUGAGAUAUGGCCACCGGGCACACCUUCCACCCUUUGUUUAUCACACUUUGUUGCUUUGGCAAGCCUGCCUCCGGGCUGCUGGCUCCGGCCGGCGAGCGCUUGCCAGAGGACCUAAACUCUGUUUGUCUGUAACGUCUGAGUACUAUAUAAUAGUUAAAACUUUCAACAACGGAUCUCUUGGUUCU
rnacentral:misc_RNA from 1 species